rnacentral:rRNA from 1 species
GAUGAACGCUGGCGGCGUGCCUAAUACAUGCAAGUCGAGCGAACAGACGAGGAGCUUGCUCCUCUGACGUUAGCGGCGGACGGGUGAGUAACACGUGGAUAACCUACCUAUAAGACAGGGAUAACUUCGGGAAACCGGAGCUAAUACCGGAUAAUUUAUUGCACCGCAUGGGUCACUAGUGAAAGUAGGUUUUUCUGUCACUUAUAGAUGGAUCCGCGCCGCAUUAGCUAGUUGGUUAGGUAGCGGCUUAGCAAGGCUACGAUGGGUAGCCGACCUGAGAGGGUGAUCGGGCACCCUGGAAGUGAGACACGGCCCAGACUCCUGCGGGAGGCAGCAGUAGGGAAUCUUCCGCAAUGGGCGAAAGCCUGACAGAGCAACGCCGCGUGAGUGAUGAAGGUCUCCGGAUCGGAAAACUAUGUUAUUAGGGAAGAACAAAUGUGUAAGUGACCAUGCACGUCUUGACGGUACCUAAUCAGAAAGCCACGGCUAACUACGUG